AAAGUUCGGCCUCAUAGGACCUCCUGUAAUUAUUUCUUGCAAGCCACCACCACCAUCACCAUUAACCACUACUAACAAGCUCAAGCUUCUAGCCACCAACUGGCCACUUACAAUAUCCUCUUCUGUUUUUGCCUCUGGUUUUACUACUCCUUACCCUUCGUGUCUCUCAAUUAUCUCUAAAUUCUUCUCUAGUUUCUGUUUUCAUCAAUUUUCCUUUCAAGAACCUGUCAUGUGACACUCUUUCUCUCUCCGUCAAGUCAGAAUAUUUUAAGGGCUGUGAUAUGCAUCUCAAGGAACCGGCCUGCUAGGUUUCUCACGUCAUACUGCUCUAAUCUUCCAAAAUUACUCUUAUCCAUUCCGUAUCUUGCCAUGAUAUAUGAUUCUUGAUCUUUUGUCUACGAUCAAAUCUUGAAAAUCUUGACAGCUUUCUACAAGGAAGAAACAGAGGCUUUCUUGUUUUUCUUGUCUGCAACUUCCUGUUAAUGGACAGUCCGGUGAGGCAGAAAAGCUUCCGCCAGAUGAAGAUGACGAAGCAGAUGACGGGGAAAAGGGACGACUCGCCGUUUCAUGCGGCGGCCAGGACGGGUGAUUUAGAACUGGUUUUGGAGAUGGUAUCUGAAACUGGGGAAGCAGAAUUGAAGGAGCAAUUGUCGAAGCAGAACCAAUCAGGAGAAACUGCGCUGUAUGUGGCUGCAGAGUGUGGCCAUGUCGAAUUGGUGAAGGAGAUGAUCAAGUACUAUGAUACUGGUGCAGCUGGUAUCAAAGCAAGAAACGGCUAUGACGCCUUUCACAUUGCUGCUAAGCAAGGUCACUUGGAGAUUUUAAUAGUUCUCAUGGAGGCUAAUCCUGAACUUGCAAUGACUUUCGAUUCAUCGAAUACUACUGCGUUGCACACUGCUGCAUCACAGGGAUAUGUUGAAGUGGUGAAUUUCCUAUUGGAGAGAGGUAGCAGCAACCUGGUUACUAUAGCAAAAAGCAAUUCUAAAACUGCCUUGCAUUCUGCUGCAAGAAAUGGUCAUUUGGAGAUCGUCAAGGCCCUUUUGAGUAAAGAACCUGGGAUUACAACAAGGGUCGAUAAGAAGGGCCAAACAGCUCUCCAUAUGGCUGUUAAAGGACAAAAUGUUGAGCUGGUAGCUGAACUUAUGAUGUCAGAUGCUUCCUUGAUAAACAUGGUUGAUUCUAAAGGCAACACCGCGUUGCAUAUUGCAGCCCGUAAGGGUAGAGAUCAGGUAAUCCUUUAUCGAUUUUCUAUUUGUUAUCAGUGAAGAAUUUGUGCUUUCUUGAGCUAUUGAAAAAUCAAGAUCUAGCUGAAUCAUAAAAGGGUUUCAGUUUCAGGAUUUGUAGCUAUUUCAUUUAAGUUUCUAUUGGACUUAAAUUUUAAGCAAUAUGGUGCAAAAUCAAUACAUAUGGUCAAGGGUAUCCAAUGGGAAUCCUAAUUGCUUUGUGUCCAACACUGAAAAUGAUGGUAUUCUUGCAGAUUGUAACGAAGCUACUUGAUCACGGUGGACUUGACAAAAUAGCUAUUAACAAAUCUGGUGAAACCGCCUUUGACACCGCUGAGAAAACUGGACACUCUGAAAUUGCUUCCUUCUUAGAAGAGCAUGGCGUCCGAUCUGCCAAAUCCAUAAAGCCUAGCACCACAAACACAGCCCGUGAACUAAAGCAAACUGUGAGUGAUAUAAAACACGAAGUUCACAACCAGCUUCAGACCACACGCCUCACAAGAAAACGUGUUCAAGGUAUAGCCAAGAGGCUGAAUAAAAUGCACACAGAAGGGCUCAACAAUGCAAUCAACUCAACCACUGUUGUUGCUGUUCUAAUUGCCACUGUUGCAUUUGCUGCCAUCUUCCAAGUCCCUGGCCAAUUCGCUGAUGAUCCAAAUAAUCUAGCCCCUGGACAAUCUGCUGGACAAGCAAAUGCUGCUUCAAAACCUGAGUUCAUGAUCUUCAUCAUAUUUGACUCAAUUGCUCUUUUCAUAUCAUUGGCUGUUGUGGUUGUUCAA
rnacentral:misc_RNA from 1 species